GAUAAAUUAUAAUUUUAGAUAAAUUCUAGAAAAAACUUCAAAAACCCCUAUAUGGUUUCGCACUUUUUUAUUUUAGUACCCUAUAAUUUAAAGUGUAUCAAGUUAGCAUCCUGUGAUUUCGUACUCACUUUAGUACCCUGUGGUUUAAAGUGUAUCAAGUUAGUACUCUGUGAUUUUAUUUUUGUAUCAGUUAGGACCCUGUGCAGGGACAGAGCUAUUGAGGGGCCCACAGUGGCCAUGGUCCCCCCUAAAUUUUUUAAAAUUAUAUAAAAGUCCUUUAUAAUAAAAAUUAAAAAAUUAUAAAUUUUAAUUUUAGGGGGCCAAAUUAAUUUUUUUAACAAAAUUUGUGUCUCAAUUUUUUUUCGAAUUUCUUGGUCAUUUUCCUUCAAUUCUUACGGUCUUGUUCCUUUUUGAACAUAUUGUCGUUAUCAUUGAAUCUGACAAAUUUUUUUCUUAUUAUCCGAGAUCGAAUUUUUUUUCUAUGAAAUCUAAAUUUUGGCCCUCCCGAAUCUUAAUUUCUGGCUUCGUCCCUGACCCUGUGAUUUUAUUUUUCUCUUAAUGAAAUAUUAAACCAUAUGGUACUAAAGUGAAAAGUGCAAAACCACAGGGUACUAGCUUGAUACACUUUAAACCACAGGGUAUUAAAGUGAGAAAGUGCGAAAUCAUAGGGUACUAACUUAAUACACUCUAAACCACAUGGCACUAAAGUGAGAAAG
rnacentral:lncRNA from 1 species